UAAAGUGAAAUUAAACUUGAGUAUUAUUAGUUAUGAUCUUUAAACUUAAAGAAUUUGGCGGUAUUAUAGUCUAUUUAGAGGAAUCUGUUAUGUAAUCGAUAGUCCACGUUGAACCUUACUUAUAUUAAUUCUUGUAUACCGCUGUUUAGAUUACAUUUUUAGAUGUUAUUUCUUAAUAUAUGAAUUUUUAAAAUUUCAAGUCAAGGUGCAGUAAUAUUUGAGUUGAAUAAUGGAUUACAAUAAAUUUUAUUUAUUAUGGAUUAAUUAUUGAAAAAUAAUUUGAAGGUGGAUUUAAUAGUAAUUWUWNNUUACCRRKMWCRUGAAGVABUWYCUCCC
rnacentral:rRNA from 1 species